AAUCUUGCGCAAUGGGCGAAAGCCUGACGCAGCCAUGCCGCGUGAAUGAUGUAGGUCUUAGGAUUGUACAAGUGUUUCACCGGGGCCGAUAAUGCCGGUACCCGGAGAAGAAGCCCCGGCUAAAUUCGUGCCAGCAGCCGCGGUAAUACGAAGGGGGCUGGCGUUGCUCGGAAUUACUGGGCGUAAAGGGCGCGUAGGCGGACAUUUAGGUCAGGGGUGAAAUCCCAGGGCUCAACUCUGAAACUGCCUUUGAUACUGGGUGUCUUGAGUGUGAGAGAGGUAUGUGGAACUCCGAGUGUAGAGGUGAAAUUCGUAGAUAUUCGGAAGAACACCAGUGGCGAAGGCGACAUACUGGCUCAUUACUGACGCUGAGGCGCGAAAGCGUGGGGAGCAAACA
rnacentral:rRNA from 1 species